ACAGGGUGACAGCCCCGUACACAAAAAUGCACAUGCUGUGAGCUCGAUGAGUAGGGCGGGACACGUGGUAUCCUGUCUGAAUAUGGGGGGACCAUCCUCCAAGGCUAAAUACUCCUGACUGACCGAUAGUGAACCAGUACCGUGAGGGAAAGGCGAAAAGAACCCCGGCGAGGGGAGUGAAAAAGAACCUGAAACCGUGUACGUACAAGCAGUGGGAGCACGCUUAGGCGUGUGACUGCGUACCUUUUGUAUAAUGGGUCAGCGACUUAUAUUCUGUAGCAAGGUUAACCGAAUAGGGGAGCCGAAGGGAAACCGAGUCUUAACUGGGCGUUAAGUUGCAGGGUAUAGACCCGAAACCCGGUGAUCUAGCCAUGGGCAGGUUGAAGGUUGGGUAACACUAACUGGAGGACCGAACCGACUAAUGUUGAAAAAUUAGCGGAUGACUUGUGGCUGGGGGUGAAAGGCCAAUCAAACCGGGAGAUAGCUGGUUCUCCCCGAAAGCUAUUUAGGUAGCGCCUCGUGAAUUCAUCUCCGGGGGUAGAGCACUGUUUCGGCAAGGGGGUCAUCCCGACUUACCAACCCGAUGCAAACUGCGAAUACCGGAGAAUGUUAUCACGGGAGACACACGGCGGGUGCUAACGUCCGUCGUGAAGAGGGAAACAACCCAGACCGCCAGCUAAGGUCCCAAAGUCAUGGUUAAGUGGGAAACGAUGUGGGAAGGCCCAGACAGCCAGGAUGUUGGCUUAGAAGCAGCCAUCAUUUAAAGAAAGCGUAAUAGCUCACUGGUCGAGUCGGCCUGCGCGGAAGAUGUAACGGGGCUAAACCAUGCACCGAAGCUGCGGCAGCGACGCUGAUGCGUUGUUGGGUAGGGGAGCGUUCUGUAAGCCUGUGAAGGUGUGCUGUGAGGCAUGCUGGAGGUAUCAGAAGUGCGAAUGCUGACAUAAGUAACGAUAAAGCGGGUGAAAAGCCCGCUCGCCGGAAGACCAAGGGUUCCUGUCCAACGUUAAUCGGGGCAGGGUGAGUCGACCCCUAAGGCGAGGCCGAAAGGCGUAGUCGAUGGGAAACAGGUUAAUAUUCCUGUACUUGGUGUUACUGCGAAGGGGGGACGGAGAAGGCUAUGUUGGCCGGGCGACGGUUGUCCCGGUUUAAGCGUGUAGGCUGGUUUUCCAGGCAAAUCCGGAAAAUCAAGGCUGAGGCGUGAUGACGAGGCACUACGGUGCUGAAGCAACAAAUGCCCUGCUUCCAGGAAAAGCCUCUAAGCAUCAGGUAACAUCAAAUCGUACCCCAAACCGACACAGGUGGUCAGGUAGAGAAUACCAAGGCGCUUGAGAGAACUCGGGUGAAGGAACUAGGCAAAAUGGUGCCGUAACUUCGGGAGAAGG
rnacentral:rRNA from 1 species